AAAUUGAAGAGUUUGAUCAUGGCUCAGAUUGAACGCUGGCGGCAGGCCUAACACAUGCAAGUCGAACGGUAACAGGAAGCAGCUUGCUGCUUUGCUGACGAGUGGCGGACGGGUGAGUAAUGUCUGGGAAACUGCCUGAUGGAGGGGGAUAAC
rnacentral:rRNA from 2 species